UGGGGAAUAUUGCACAAUGGAGGAAACUCUGAUGCAGCGACGCCGCGUGAGCGAUGAAGUAUUUCGGUAUGUAAAGCUCUAUCAGCAGGGAAGAUAAUGACGGUACCUGAGUAAGAAGCUCCGGCUAAAUACGUGCCAGCAGCCGCGGUAAUACGUAUGGAGCAAGCGUUAUCCGGAUUUACUGGGUGUAAAGGGAGUGUAGGCGGCUUUGCAGGUCAGAUGUGAAAGCCGGGGCUCAACCCCGGGACUGCAUUUGAAACUGUGAAGCUGGAGUGUCGGAGAGGUAAGUGGAAUUCCUAGUGUAGCGGUGAAAUGCGUAGAUAUUAG
rnacentral:rRNA from 1 species